GAUGAAGAACGCAGCGAAAUGCGAUAAGUAAUGUGAAUUGCAGAAUUCAGUGAAUCAUCGAAUCUUUGAACGCACAUUGCGCCCGCCAGUAUUCUGGCGGGCAUGCCUGUUCGAGCGUCAUUACAACCCUCAGGCCCCCGGGCCUGGCGUUGGGGAUCGGCGGAGCCCCCCGUGGGCACACGCCGUCCCCCAAAUGCAGUGGCGGUCCCGCCGCAGCUUCCAUCGCGUAGUAGCUAACACCUCGCGCCUGGAGAGCGGCGCGGCCACGCCGUAAAACACCCAACUCUUCUGAAGUUGACCUCGAAUCAGGUAGGAAUACCCGCUGAACUUAAGCAUAUCAAUAAGCGGAGGA
rnacentral:misc_RNA from 1 species